UACAGAGGGUGCAAGCGUUAAUCGGAAUUACUGGGCGUAAAGCGUGCGCAGACGGUUGCGUAAGUCAGAUGUGAAAGCCCCGGGCUCAACCUGGGAAUUGCAUUUGAGACUGCGUAGCUAGGGUGCGGAAGAGGGAAGCGGAAUUUCCGGUGUAGCGGUGAAAUGCGUAGAUAUCAGGAGGAACACCUGCGGUGUAGACGGCUUACUGGACCGUAACUGACGCUGAGGCACGAAAGCGUGGGUAGCAAACAGG
rnacentral:rRNA from 1 species